GACCAGGUCCUCAGUUGUUGGUAUAGCAUGGAACUCUUAAUCUCAGCGUUGUGGGUUCGAGCCCCACGUUGGGCA